UACGGGGGGGGUAAGCGUUGUUCGGAAUUACUGGGCGUAAAGGGCUCGUAGGCGGCCAACUAAGUCAAACGUGAAAUCCCUCGGCUUAACCGGGGAACUGCGUCUGAUACUGGAUGGCUUGAGUUUGGGAGAGGGAUGCGGAAUUCCAGGUGUAGCGGUGAAAUGCGUAGAUAUCUGGAGGAACACCGGUGGCGAAGGCGGCAUCCUGGACCGGUAUUGACGCUGAGGCGCGAAAGCGUGGGGAGCAAACAGG
rnacentral:rRNA from 1 species